rnacentral:rRNA from 1 species
UGGGGAAUAUUGCACAAUGGGCGAAAGCCUGAUGCAGCGACGCCGCGUGAGGGAUGACGGCCUUCGGGUUGUAAACCUCUUUCAGCAGGGACGAAGCGCAAGUGACGGUACCUGCAGAAGAAGCACCGGCUAACUACGUGCCAGCAGCCGCGGUAAUACGUAGGGUGCAAGCGUUGUCCGGAAUUACUGGGCGUAAAGAGUUCGUAGGCGGUUUGUCGCGUCGUUUGUGAAAACCAGCAGCUCAACUGCUGGCUUGCAGGCGAUACGGGCAGACUUGAGUGCUGCAGGGGAGACUGGAAUUCCUGGUGUAGCGGUGGAAUGCGCAGAUAUCAGGGGGAAGCCCGGUGGCGAAGGCGGGUCUCUGGGCAGUAACUGACGCUGAGGAACGAAAGCGUGGGUAGCGAACAGG